rnacentral:sRNA from 26 species
GUUUUGCGUUAGGGAUUGAGGCGGUAUCCUUUUUCUGGUUUUUCUCCAGAAAAAGAUAUAGCCGAAAGCCCGACCCGAC